rnacentral:snRNA from 1 species
AGCUUUGUGCAGUGGUGGUAUGGAAGCCAAUGAAGUUUAUCUGCAAUUAUUGCUCAUUGAAAACGUUUCCCAAUGCCCUGCCAUGACAACUCGCAAUGUAGUUGGCAUUGGUAAGAAAAGAAAUGCAUUUU